UCUGGUCAGGCCGGGUAUUAUGAAAUCACAGAAAAUUCAAGAACAAAAUAAUCCAAUAAUCUGUAGUCUUGUUGUCAAAGAAAUAUACAAGUAAAUUCACUAAUCUAUUUAUUAAAAUUCCAUUCCAGGACACUAUUUACAUUAUAUAUACAGUUUACAAAAUGUAUAGUUCAAACAUUCAUUAGCACAUUACUUUCACACGGUAUCAUAAACGGCACUCUGUAUAAAUUCGGCAACAGUGUCCAAUACUGUUCACUCACAAAAACCACGCAUAGCGUCCAAUACUAUGCGGACAAAACCACGCAACAGUGUCCAAUACUGUGUGGACAAAA
rnacentral:lncRNA from 1 species